rnacentral:rRNA from 1 species
UACAGAGGUCCCAAGCGUUGUUCGGAUUCAUUGGGCGUAAAGGGUGCGUAGGCGGCGCGGUAAGUCGGGUGUGAAAUCUUGGAGCUUAACUCCGAAACUGCAUUCGAUACUGCCGUGCUUGAGGACUGGAGAGGAGACUGGAAUUCCUGGUGUAGCGGUGAAAUGCGCAGAUAUCAGGAGGAACACCGGUGGCGAAGGCGGGUCUCUGGGCCGAUACUGACGCUGAGGAGCGAAAGCGUGGGGAGCGAACAGG